rnacentral:rRNA from 1 species
UGGGGAAUUUUGGACAAUGGGCGAAAGCCUGAUCCAGCAAUGCCGCGUGUGUGAAGAAGGCCUUCGGGUUGUAAAGCACUUUUGUCCGGAAAGAAAUCCUUGGCUCUAAUACAGUCGGGGGAUGACGGUACCGGAAGAAUAAGCACCGGCUAACUACGUGCCAGCAGCCGCGGUAAUACGUAGGGUGCAAGCGUUAAUCGGAAUUACUGGGCGUAAAGCGUGCGCAGGCGGUUUGCUAAGACCGAUGUGAAAUCCCCGGGCUCAACCUGGGAACUGCAUUGGUGACUGGCAGGCUAGAGUACGGCAGAGGGGGGUAGAAUUCCACGUGUAGCAGUGAAAUGCGUAGAGAUGUGGAGGAAUACCGAUGGCGAAGGCAGCCCCCUGGGCCAAUACUGACGCUCAUGCACGAAAGCGUGGGGAGCAAAACAGGAUUAGAUACCCUGGUAGUCCACGCCCUAAACGAUGUCAACUAGUUGUUGGGGAUUCAUUUCCUUAGUAACGUAGCUAACGCGUGAAGUUGACCGCCUGGGGAGUACGGUCGCAAGAUUAAAACUCAAAGGAAUUGAC